rnacentral:rRNA from 1 species
AACGAACGCUGGCGGCAGGCCUAACACAUGCAAGUCGAGCGCCCCAGCGAUGGGGAGCGGCGGACGGGUGAGUAACGCGUGGGAACGUGCCUCUUGCUACGGAAUAGCCUCGGGAAACUGGGAGUAAUACCGUAUGUGCCCUACGGGGGAAAGAUUUAUCGGCAAGAGAUCGGCCCGCGUUGGAUUAGGUAGUUGGUGGGGUAAUGGCCUACCAAGCCGACGAUCCAUAGCUGGUUUGAGAGGAUGAUCAGCCACACUGGGACUGAGACACGGCCCAGACUCCUACGGGAGGCAGCAGUGGGGAAUCUUAGACAAUGGGCGCAAGCCUGAUCUAGCCAUGCCGCGUGAGCGAUGAAGGCCUUAGGGUUGUAAAGCUCUUUCGUGGGGGAAGAUAAUGACUGUACCCCAAGAAGAAGCCCCGGCUAACUCCGUGCCAGCAGCCGCGGUAAAGUACAGUGU